rnacentral:lncRNA from 1 species
CUUGAUAAAUCUUACUGCUGCCUGAGGGAUAUUUUUUAGCACUACCACUGUGCCUCUAGCAUCUCCACUACAAUCUGUCUAUUCCUUUCUACUGUCCUGAGCAGAGUGAAGCCAAAGUCAAUGCUGAGGAAGGGAAAUACCAAAAUGUCUAAUGACACUAUAUUUUAUACCCUUCCCUUAUUUAUUAUACAACAGGAUAAGGAACGUUGCCUUCUCAACACCAAAGCCAGCCUCUCUCCUUCACUCCCUCCCUCAGUGGUACUGAAACUAAGCUGGAUGAAGCCUCAGAAACCUGCUCAACUUCAAAGAGUGCCAAGGCAGGAGGGGUGUCUGCAUCUGCUUUAUGACCUUCUGCAAAUCACAACCCAUAAAGAUGAUCCUGUUUCCCUCCAAGAAGAUUGGAUGCAUGACCUGAUACUUCAACUUCUCAAGAAUAGAAUGAUGUGUGACAAUGUGAAAGCCAGGGAGACCAGAUGGUACCAGUGCCCAACGGCACCUACAGUUGCAGGGUUUCACUAUGUCCAGAGAUCCUGCAGACAAUCAAUGAGCCAC